AUGAACGCUAGCGACAGGCUUAACACAUGCAAGUCGAGGGGCAGCACAGGUAGCAAUACCGGGUGGCGACCGGCGCACGGGUGAGUAACGCGUAUGCAACUUACCUAUCAGAGGGGGAUAACCCGGCGAAAGUCGGACUAAUACCGCAUGAAGCAGGGGCCCCGCAUGGGGAUAUUUGCUAAAGAUUCAUCGCUGAUAGAUAGGCAUGCGUUCCAUUAGGCAGUUGGCGGGGUAACGGCCCACCAAACCGACGAUGGAUAGGGGUUCUGAGAGGAAGGUCCCCCACAUUGGUACUGAGACACGGACCAAACUCCUACGGGAGGCAGCAGUGAGGAAUAUUGGUCAAUGGGCGUAAGCCUGAACCAGCCAAGUCGCGUGAGGGAUGAAGGUUCUAUGGAUCGUAAACCUCUUUUAUAAGGGAAUAAAGUGCGGGACGUGUCCCGUUUUGUAUGUACCUUAUGAAUAAGGAUCGGCUAACUCCGUGCCAGCAGCCGCGGUAAUACGGAGGAUCCGAGCGUUAUCCGGAUUUAUUGGGUUUAAAGGGUGCGUAGGCGGCCUUUUAAGUCAGCGGUGAAAGUCUGUGGCUCAACCAUAGAAUUGCCGUUGAAACUGGGAGGCUUGAGUAUGUUUGAGGCAGGCGGAAUGCGUGGUGUAGCGGUGAAAUGCUUAGAUAUCACGCAGAACCCCGAUUGCGAAGGCAGCCUGCCAAGCCAUGACUGACGCUGAUGCACGAAAGCGUGGGGAUCAAACAGGAUUAGAUACCCUGGUAGUCCACGCAGUAAACGAUGAUCACUAGCUGUUUGCGAUACAGUGUAAGCGGCACAGCGAAAGCGUUAAGUGAUCCACCUGGGGAGUACGCCGGCAACGGUGAAACUCAAAGGAAUUGACGGGGGCCCGCACAAGCGGAGGAACAUGUGGUUUAAUUCGAUGAUACGCGAGGAACCUUACCCGGGUUUGAACGCAUUCGGACCGAGGUGGAAACACCUUUUCUAGCAAUAGCCGUUUGCGAGGUGCUGCAUGGUUGUCGUCAGCUCGUGCCGUGAGGUGUCGGCUUAAGUGCCAUAACGAGCGCAACCCUUGCCACUAGUUACUAACAGGUAAAGCUGAGGACUCUGGUGGGACUGCCAGCGUAAGCUGCGAGGAAGGCGGGGAUGACGUCAAAUCAGCACGGCCCUUACAUCCGGGGCGACACACGUGUUACAAUGGCGUGGACAAAGGGAAGCCACCUGGCGACAGGGAGCGAAUCCCCAAACCACGUCUCAGUUCGGAUCGGAGUCUGCAACCCGACUCCGUGAAGCUGGAUUCGCUAGUAAUCGCGCAUCAGCCAUGGCGCGGUGAAUACGUUCCCGGGCCUUGUACACACCGCCCGUCACACCAUGGGAGUUGGAAACGCCCGAAGUCAGUGACCCAACCGUAAGGAGGGAGCUGCCGAAGGCGGGUCUGAUAACUGGGGUG
rnacentral:rRNA from 1 species